AAUCAACGCUGGCGGCGUGCCUAACACAUGCAAGUCGAACGCGAAACGUCCCGCAAGGGAUCGGUAGCGUGGCAAACGGGUGAGUAACACGUGGGUGACCUGCCUUCGAGUGGGGGAUAACGUCCCGAAAGGGACGCUAAUACCGCAUGACAUCCCGCCUUUGAAGAGGUGGAGAUCAAAGCUGCGGAUCGCAAGACGUAGCGCUUGAAGAGGGGCCCGCGCCUGAUUAGCAGUUGGUGGGGUAAUGGCUCACCAAGGCAACGAUCAGUAUCCGGCCUGAGAGGGCGGACGGACACACUGGGACUGGGACACGGCCCAGACUCCUACGGGAGGCAGCAGUGGGGAAUUGUUCGCAAUGGGCGCAAGCCUGACGACGCAACGCCGCGUGGAGGAUGAAGACCUC
rnacentral:rRNA from 1 species